CAGCGACUGGGGUGAAGUCGUAACAAGGUUUCCGUAGGUGAACCUGCAGAAGGAUCA
rnacentral:rRNA from 1 species